rnacentral:rRNA from 1 species
GAUGAACGCUGGCGGCGUGCCUAAUACAUGCAAGUCGAGCGAACAGACGAGGAGCUUGCUCCUCUGACGUUAGCGGCGGACGGGUGAGUAACACGUGGAUAACCUACCUAUAAGACUGGGAUAACUUCGGGAAACCGGAGCUAAUACCGGAUAAUAUAUUGAACCGCAUGGUUCAAUAGUGAAAGACGGUUUUGCUGUCACUUAUAGAUGGAUCCGCGCCGCAUUAGCUAGUUGGUAAGGUAACGGCUUACCAAGGCAACGAUGCGUAGCCGACGUGAGAGGGUGAUAGGCCACCCUGGAACUGAGACACGGUCCAGACUCCUACGGGAGGCAGCAGUAGGGAAUCUUCCGCAAUGGGCGAAAGCUUGACGGAGCAACGCCGCGUGAGUGAUGAAGGUCUUCGGAUCGUAAAACUCUGUUAUUAGGGAAGAACAAAUGUGUAAGUAACUAUGCACGUCUUGACGGUACCUAAUCAGAAAGCCACGGCUAACUACGUG